rnacentral:rRNA from 1 species
UACGUAGGGUGCAAGCGUUUAUCCGGAAUUAUUGGGCGUAAAGAGCUCGUAGGCGGUUUGUCGCGUCUGCUGUGAAAACUGGAGGCUCAACCUCCAGCCUGCAGUGGGUACGGGCAGACUAGAGUGCGGUAGGGGGAGAUUGGAAUUCCUGGUGUAGCGGUGGAAUGCGCAGAUAUCAGGAGGAACACCGGUGGCGAAGGCGGUUCUCUGGGCAUGAUCUGACGCUGAGGAGCGAAAAGUGUGGGGGAGCGAACAGG